AAAAUAAAUUCUUCCGUUUACAUAGGUUUUGUCUAUAAAACAACGUGCUUACAGAACAAGUACUAUCAGCUUACAGAUUCUAUUUAUCACUCAAGAUACGAAGCAAAUGCAAUUGCUGGAAGACUUCUUGUAUGCAAAAUCAACACAUAGGCCAGUUCAAAAUUUUAUCAUGUUGGUGUUCUGGACAUUCAAUACUCUUCUUCACUCCACAAACUUGAAAUACAAUGUUUGCCAACAUUCACUUAAGUGUUAAAUAAAUCAGCUGAUAAAACAAAAACUUUGAUUGAAGAAUGCUCUCCAAAACACCUUUAGAGUGACAAAUGCAAUCUGUAAACAGUGGGGAAGGCAAUAAAAAAAACUUGUUAAUGUGUUCACUUCCGCAAAGCUCACAUUUAAGGCAUCUUUUGACAACUGUUUCUGAGUAGCUCCAGGUUACAAGUGGCAAGAAGCAUUAACUGCAACGUAUGAGGGAAAGUUUCCUGGUGAACUAUAGUAAAGAUACUGAAGGACGGAGAGUGCAGAAGUUGCCCUUUUCGGUCUAACAGUUUGCCAGUGGGAGUGCAGGAAGAGCCAUAACCCACUUUCACACAGUAGUGGGAUAUUUAGGAAGCGCCGCUUCCAACCUGGCAGCUACCUUUCAGGUCAGUCGCCGACAUGAUACGCAAUCACUUGUCAGAGCUGCACGUAUGCAAGUCUCCAUAAAGUAACGCGAUGGCAAAAAAACCCCAAACCCUCAUAAAUGGUAGACACAAAGGCGAAACGGCAGUUUGUUCCUGGAAGCCCUGAGUCUCGCCUGGCUUGCUUUCCGCGGCGGGUAAACCCCCCGGGGAGCGCACGCCUCCGACCCGCCACCCUCGGAGGGCCGGUGCCCGGCGGCGGCGGGAAGGGUCCCGCUCUGAGGAGAGGCCGCCAGGCUCGGAAACGAGCAGGGCACGGCUGCCGUCCCCUAACUUCCCCUCAGCCAUCGCCUCGGGUUUGUUCUGUUGGCGGAAAACUUCUGCGGAAGGCGCCGGCCCCCGGGACCCCCGACCUACCCGCAGCCGGACCCCCUCCCGGCGGUAACGGCAGCCGGGGCGGCCGUUAACGGCUGCCCGCCUGCCAGCCGGGGCCCUGAGGAGGGGACAGCGGGGUGAAACCUUGCUCCGCGCCCCCCCGCCCCCUUCCACCACCUCUUCCCUCCUGAGGGAAAAGCCCGGGUCGGCCCCGCGUCGCUGGGGAUACAGGCGGGCGCCCUCGGGCCAGCGCGCUCGCCGCCCGACGCCCCGUGAGAGAGAGCCCCCCGCCGCCCCCGUCCGGUCACUCACCCGGGUUGAAGAGCACCGUCCCCUUGAGAAAUAUAUGUGAUGGUGCACAUAGAACUAUAGAUACGAAUACAAGAAUAAUGCAAGGUGUGUGAAAAACUGAGAGCUGUGUUUUGAUGGGUCAAGUAUGACUGGAAUCCACUAUUCAGGAAUCCAUGGAUGAGGCUCAAGGUUGUAUGACAUUUUUUCACCUCCUGUUCUCAUGGAAAUGAGGAUGCAGGAAAAUGAGGAAAUGAGUUUAUUUUGCAAAACCUCCAAGAGCUAUGGUGAUGUGAGAGACUGAGCAGGAUCUGAGCCACAAUCUGCCUGAAAGAGUGAGGAAGAGUGUCCAUGGUGGACACAGAGACUUCGGCAGUCACGAGCCCAAGCUGAGGCAGCGUCCCCUGGAAAAAGCACUUACCAAAGGGACAGAGAUCCUUCAGAGAAUGAGGCCCCUGAAGAAACACUCUGGUAACUUGCGGGAAAUCACCACAUAUGUAAGAAGAAAGUGGAAAGAGGAGCUAAAACGCGAGGGCACAUGGCGCAGUUUGCAUGUGCCUGCGGGGCAGCGGGGCAGGCCAAGGGGCUGCAGGGCGCCCAGGCGGGAGGAGGCCAUGAGCUGCCCUGUACUGGUUCCAGCUGGCUCCAGACGGUUCCAGCCAGCUCCAAGACCCGCAGGGAUGGCCGGUGGCCGCCCAGGAGCACACAGGGCCAGGCAGGCAUCCCUGGGGCAAACGGCAGCCUCCAGGGGAGGAGAAAUGGGGUAGAUGGGUGGAGUGGACGGUGCUGGGGACAGGGAGGAGGCCCACACAGCUAUGGGACGCGGCGCUGGGCCAGGCACUGUCCUGGCAGCUGCUAAAAUCCCGCCGAAGGACAUGGCUUCACACACAGCUCAAGCAACACUGCUGUCGAUACUAGUCCGCACCCAUUUUUCCCACAGGCAGCAAUAAUUUGAGUGUGUUAAAGCUGUGACCGUGUUUGAAUACAAUGUUUGAACAGUCCUGUCCAGAAGCAGGAUGCUGGCCACAACUUUAUUGUCAGUGUGGAGCUGAACACAGGGAGUAUUCUUACCAUUCUGUCAUAAAAAGUUCAAAGAAACACCCCAUAUUUUAGCAUUCAUCGGUGUUGAAUAAAACCCCUAAAAUUUUUCAAGGUCUCCUAUCUCUAUUUGGUACCUGCAAAGAGACCCAUGGGAGUCUUCAAGUAGUUACUAGUUAUUGGCGAGAACAUGAACAGUUACAUCAGCUGCUUGAAAGUGGCAAGGAGCAGGAAGUAGGAGGGGAAAGAAUCAAGAGUUUCCAUGAUGUCUCGUGUACUUCCAUGUACACCAUUCCAGAAAAAAAUGAAAUACUGAAAGCUGUAAAUCCUGCCAUAGUCCUGUGAGGUUCUCCUGUUACUUCUGGAUGACUAACUGAUACUGUAGAAAGAGGCAAUAUCUUUUCUGUUUCUCAAAGUAUAGGGACAGUCAAAAAAGUGAUCAGAAUUACUAGCCAACUGGCAUGAUGCUAAUGCGAGUUCUCCAACUGUGCAGCUGCUGCCCUGGCAUCCUCUGUUAUUUAGAUAGCAAGAGCUGUAUGUAUUAAUUAUGCCAGCAGGGAGACCGCAAGUUUAUGACAGCACUUAGAGGAAAUCUGAAUGCAGGUGGCAUUUACACAGAAGAGCAGAAAAGGUAGUGUGCAAUGAUUUGCACACAUUGCCUUUUUACUGGUAAUUUAAACAGUUACUCUUGUAACUUGGGCACUCUGGCAUACCAUGAGGCAAGUGGAAAUUUAUAUUUUUAAGUUAAUGCAUAGGUUUAAUGCCUUUAAAUGUUUUUAAUUACCUCCCUUUAAAGGUUUUUUUUUUGCAUGUCAGCUUGGAUAAAUAAUGUCUGCAAUGUACUGCUUGCUUGCAUCUCUUGUUAUCCUGCGAGGAUGUUUUGCAGUUUCCCAGACCUGGCUCCUCGGCUGUCACAGACCGGCAGUGACUACCUAGAGCACACGUAGCAAGAGACUGAUUAAUAUUGACUGCAGGUAGCGCUCCCCGCCCCACCACCGCUGUGGAGGCCUUGACAGCUCCAUGACCCUCAUCCCCGCACCGUUCCCUCCCUCCAGCUCCCUCCAGUUAAAGCAUCACAUCAGCAUUGUUUACUGCAGGAACUCAGCCAAGGAAGUCAUAACAAGACACUAGACAUAUAAUCUGAUAACCUUGUUAGCUUGCUUGAAUCAGAGCUCCUAACAAGUGGAAGAGUUUAGUAAAGUGGAAUAAAAAUAUUACAACGUUUGUUGUCAAUGGCUUUUUAGUUCUGUCUUUGAAAACGUAGCAUUUCUUGUGCUUUUAUUUAAGAUUAAAGCUAAGCUCAAGGACACUAAAGAAAACAAUAUGAACAAGGUCAGAUAUGACUUUAAAAAAAAGCCCACAACAAAUGGUAACUGAAGCAGGCAGACAAACUUCUUCAUUGUGUUCAAAUAGCAGCAAGUAAAACUACAUAAAAAGAUACGAAUGUACCGUUCUGAAAAUCUCAGCACAGUAACAAUCUACAGUGCACUGUUUUAUAUUUUAUUAGGACUCGGCUGUGAUGACGCCAAAAAUCCUAAAUGAAGAGCAACAUGUAUUAGCACUAUCACGUUAGCAACUGAAGAGCAAAUCGGUGACCCCAACCAUGUCAAAGCAGCAAUGGCAUCACCCACUGCCGCUCCAGGAAAACAGUCUCAACUUCCCAAAUACCUCCCUUCCCACAGCAGCUUCCCUGAUCCCGCUGGUGCCCCACAGUGGGAAAGAAACCAGAAGGCAGCACUUCCCACACUGCGGCCCCUCUUGAGCCACCCUUCCCGCUUGAGAGUGGGCCUGUCUGUACUGUAACCUGAACUUGUGACCAUGGCACAGCUUCCCUCUUUCUCACUACCAAACCACCAUUAGCUGAGUCGGGGGCAGCGUGCAGUCGUCCAUUGAUUCUCUCACCACGGUGUUUCUGAAGCCAUUUCCCCUGAAAUCUCUUCUACCUGGGACAGGCUUUUAUGGCACUAGUCUUCCCGUCUGAAUCUCCACGUGCCUCUGAGCAAUAAUCCUCUGCUGAAGAUCAAGAACCCCAACUGCGGUCCUGAUACGGCAAACAACAUAAGUACGGGUUUAAAGUGAGUGUCAUCUGCUUACCUGGUUUGCUGGUGUCUGGAGCAGAAAGGAUGAAAUUUCUCUUCUAUUUAGCAAUCUUUUUGAAUAAUAGAGCCAAGGUCCAUCUGAAACCAUGCAACCGCUUACUUAAUUUCUGCUGCUGGAAGGUGUGCUGUGGGUAUUCUACAGCUGUGCUCCAAAACCUUGUAGACUAUGAGGGUUUUUAGUUCUGCUAAUGAUGCAUGAUAUGAAAGAUUAAUGUUUGGAUAGCUUUUAAACCCCUGAAAAUUCUACUGAGAAAGAAUAAUUUUUCACUAAAGUGUAUUAAAUAGUAUUAAAAUAGUUUCACCUUUUAGAAAAAUCCCAUAGAAUUAAUAGCAAAUUCUAAUAAUUCUUUAAUGAGCUACAAUGUUCUACGGCAUCGUAGAGGAUAUUUUUAAGAUUACAGAGAGUAUUAUUUGUUAUCCGGUUCAAUAAUAUUUGUCAUCAGUCUUUGUUUAAAACUGUCAGAGAAAACAGGACUCUUCAUUUCUGCCCUCUUUUUUCCAGUUAGGGAAGGCAUGUGGUGAAACUGUAUACCUGUGUGAUUUUCAUGAGUUCUCUCUUAUUGUAUUCUCCAGUACUUGCAAGUCCUGUGUGAUUUGAGGAGCUUGUUGGUUUUUUCCAAGGUGAAGCUUUGAAUAAAAUAACAUUUACUAUGUCCUUGUUUAACGAGCUGUGCUUGAUUUGUUAAUUAGCAUCUUAAUGAAUUUCAAAUGAAAAAGUUAUUUUCAGCUUUGAAUAGAAUUACUAAGCUUGUAAAAGUACAUUUUGGGAAGCA